AUAAUUGAUCUAUCAUUAUUGACUUACUUUGUUAAUUAAUAUAAUUAAAUGUAUUAAUUUUUCAACUAAUAAUUAGAGUAAAUUCACUUAUUAUACUAUUGUUUAUGUUUCAGUUUUGGUAUUAAAUAUUAACGAAAUAUAUUUUGUGUUAAAUUAUUCAUUAGAUUUUCUAUUUACGUUUAAUAAAAAACAAUUACUCAGUCUUAAAAAAAUUAAAUAAUUUUAAUUAAAAGUGUGAAUUCAAAGUUUAAAGAGGGUCGUAGCUAAUGAAGUAACGAACAAUCUUUUAUUUUUCAGAAAAAUAAGCACUUCUAGAAUAAGCCAUUGAGAAAACACAUAUUCAUCCUUCAUUUUACUUCAAGACCGAUUUAGAUCGAUCAACAAGAAAUCACGACAAGAAUUGUAAACCCUAAAGGUUUGACGAGGAAGGCCGUAAAAUUGAAAAGCAAAUUAGAUAAUGCUGUAAUGUAUAGGAAUAGAGAAACUUAACGCGUGUUGAUGAGUUCUAUAUUUUCAGAUCGAAAAUCGAGAUCACGAAUGGAAUCGGAAGAAUGAUUAAUCGAGCGUAUAAAGAUCGUAAGAGAACGAUUUCUUGUCGUCAAUGGCUAUCACAAUAUAGUACAUAAAUCAACACGUGUUUGUGUUAAUGUAUAUAUAUAUAUAUAUUUAUAAACUCAAUCAUUCGCCGACGUCGUGUUCGUUUGAAGUAGAUAUAUACUAAAGGAAGUUAACAGGUGGGUGACAUAUGCGGAAAAACAAAAUAGUCUAUUCCACUAUAAAAAUAAUGUAAUCAACGUAGUAUCUAUAUAACGGCGUCUGUAUUAGAGGGAAAGUCAUAAAAUUGUUCAAUCAACGGCAGUAGCGUAUAUACAAGGGUGCAAAUGGGUCAUGCCCCCCUCAUUGGCCGUAUUGGUUAUUUAUUUUUUUUGCGGCAGAACGUAUACUUUUUCGAGUUCAGAACGACUGAAAACAUACUUAAGGCCAACA